UACUAUCAAGGAUUCCGAAGGGUUCAUUAGGAUUUCUAGGUUGGCUACUACUUUGAACUUGCUUAUCUUUUCUAGGUCGGGGAGCCGUGGGAGGGUAGUAUUUUGGCCACUACUUUCACCGGUUUUAGCUUUUCCUUUACCGAACAUUUUUUUUAACGAAAAUGCCAUAAUAAUUAUAAUUAAGCAAACUAACAACACAAAAAA
rnacentral:lncRNA from 1 species